AGAACCUUACCAGGUUCUUGACAUCCUGAGAACUAGCAGAGAUGCUUUGGUGCCUUCAAGGAACUCAGAGACAGGUGCUGCAUGGCUGUCGUCAGCUCGUGUUGUGAAAUGUUGGGUUAAGUCCCGGUAACGAGCGCAACCCUGUCCUUAGUUGCCAGCACGUAAUGGUGGGAACUCUAAGGAGACUGCCGGUGACAAACCGGAGGAAGGUGGGGACGACGUCAAGUCAUCAUGGCCCUUACGACCUGGGCUACACACGUGCUACAAUGGGAAGUACAAAGGGUUGCGAAGCGGCGACGUGGAGCCAAUCCCAUAAAACUUUUCGUAGUCCGGAUUGAAGUCUGCAACUCGACUUCAUGAAGUCGGAAUCGCUAGUAAUCGCGAAUCAGAAUGUCGCGGUGAAUACGUUCCCGGGCUUUGUACACACCGCCCGUCACACCAUGGGAGUGGGUUGCUCCAGAAGUGGUUAGUCUAACCUUCGGGGGGACGAUCACCACGGAGUGAUUCAUGACUGGGGUG
rnacentral:rRNA from 1 species